rnacentral:rRNA from 1 species
UUCCGUAGCGCUCCUGCGGAGGGAUCAUUACCGAGUUUACAACUCCCAAACCCCUGUGAACAUACCUUAUUGUUGCCUCGGCGGAUCAGCCCGCUCCCCGUAAAACGGGACGGCCCGCCAGAGGACCCAAACUCUAUUGUAUUUAGUGUAUCUUCUGAGUAACACAAACAAAUAAAUCAAAACUUUCAACAACGGAUCUCUUGGUUCUGGCAUCGAUGAAGAACGCAGCAAAAUGCGAUAAGUAAUGUGAAUUGCAGAAUUCAGUGAAUCAUCGAAUCUUUGAACGCACAUUGCGCCCGCCAGUAUUCUGGCGGGCAUGCCUGUUCGAGCGUCAUUUCAACCCUCAAACCCCCGGGUUUGGUGUUGGGGAUCGGAUUGCUAGUCAAUCCGUCUCCGAAAUCUAGUGGCGGUCUCGCUGCAGCCUCCAUUGCGUAGUAGCUAACACCUCGCAACUGGAACGCGGCGCGGCCAUGCCGUUAAACACCCAACUUCUGAAUGUUGACCUCGGAUCAGGUAGGAAUACCCGCUGAACUUAAGCAUAUCAAAAUUGCGGAGGAA